CUACGCACUCCUACGGAGGCAGCAGUGGGGAAUAUUGCACAAUGGGCGCAAGCCUGAUGCAGCCAUGCCGCGUGUAUGAAGAAGGCCUUCGGGUUGUAAAGUACUUUCAGCAGUGAGGAAGGUGGAUAUGUUAAUAGCAUAUUCAUUUGACGUUAGCUGCAGAAGAAGCACCGGCUAACUCCGUGCCAGCAGCCGCGGUAAUACGGAGGGUGCGAGCGUUAAUCGGAAUUACUGGGCGUAAAGCGCAUGCAGGUGGUUUGUUAAGUCAGAUGUGAAAGCCCGGGGCUCAACCUCGGAAUUGCAUUUGAAACUGGCAAACUAGAGUACUGUAGAGGGGGUAGAAUUUCAGGUGUAGCGGUGAAAUGCGUAGAGAUCUGAAGGAAUACCGGUGGCGAAGGCGGCCCCCUGGACAGAUACUGACACUCAGAUGCGAAAGCGUGGGGAGCAAACAGGAUUAGAUACCCUGGUAG
rnacentral:rRNA from 1 species